CCCAGCUCAGGUGCGCGGGGCGGGGCCGAGGUGAUUGAACCCCCGGAAAUCGCCCCUCGCCGCCAUUUGCUCCCUCAGCUCGGGGAGGCUGCGGCCGGGCUGGGCUCCCCCGGCGUGGCCCAGCGUUCUCCCCCAUUAUCCAUAGGAAAGAAAGCCCAGUGCUCCGGUGUGUCAGGUGCAGAGGAUGAGCUGUCCAGGGAAUGAGCAGCAAAUCCUUUCUGCACCUGCCCUCACCCUGGGACCGGCAACAACCCCAGGUGGGAGCUGUGAGGAUGAUGAGGGGUCAGCAGCCGCAGUUGUUUGCUGUGACUCAGCCCUCUCUAUAUCUUUCAUGAAAGUGGCAGAGGAGAGGGCGGCUCCUGCUGGGGGCUGUUUUAGGAGGGGUUUCCUCAGCUCCCUUCUGCAUGGCGAUGCUGGAGGAGAGGGGCUCGUGGUGGGCUCCUGGGGGGUCUCUCACGGAAGGACAGUGAGAGCAUCUCCCAAAGUCUGGGGGGAGCACUUGGAUGUGGAGCAUUGCUUAAAGGAGGUGCCGAGGGACGAAUCUUUGUGCCAGGCAGCAGCAGGUACAAAAUCGCUGUUUGUACUCAUGAGAAACAGAAGCAAGAAGCCUAAACAACAGAGAACACAGCAACAAAGCUGCACCUGGUGUUUUUCUGAAUGCUUAGAAUGCUUAAGGUGUAUAUAACCAAUAAUAGUAUGUUGUAGUUAAAUAAUAGCCAGUAAGUUUAUUGUGGUAGUUAAGCAACCAAUGGAUAAGUAACAUGAAUGAUAAACAUACAAAAGUGUAUAAAUGACACUGGCUUUUUUGAAUAAACAACUUUUUGCCUGGAA